CUUUGAUCGUGCACAGAUGGGGCCUUAAAAGUCUAGGGGAUGGUGGUUCAAGACCAAGUGGCCAAGAAAGCUGGAGGAAGGGUCUGCGCUGCUCGCUGCACUCGGGUAUCUCAGUUGCUCCCUCUUGUUCCCGCUCUCAGUCUCCGUCUUUGGCUCGCUCGCUAGCUCGCGCGCUCUCUGUACAUAAUGCAAAGCGAUAGAGCGGCCUCAGGAGAACAGCUGGAGAAAGCUUAAAGAAAAGACAAAUUAAUAGGAGUCUAGCGCAGCAGCAAAUGCUGGAGCUCAGCUGACCCGUUAAAUGAGCAAUCCUGUUAAGUGUGUUAAUCAGCAAGGCGCCAGUGAGCCAAGCAGAACGCUCUGGGAGAUACCUGGCGUGGAAACGGGUCUCUUCAUCCGCAGCAAUUCAAACUCUGUCAGUUCUUGAGUCGUAGUCCCUCUCUCCUAUCACUCUUAAAGAGAGGAGCUCCAGAGCUGCGUGACCUUGGAGACGCAUGUGGUCAGGAGCGCCUCAGGUGCGAGACAUCAACAAUCAUUGUCUGGGUUCUAUCUCCGAGCGUAUCCUGGGGUCCCAGCUCUCCCGUAUGAUUGGCGGGACUGGAGAACCCUGAGACUUAAGGAUCUCUAAUCAGGGAGGGGUGGAAAAGAGGAGUUCUUUCUGGUACCAGGAAGCUCUUACUAUGAAUAUAAUCAGGUGGCUUGAAUCUUUAAUAACAUCAAGUUCUGGCCUUUGGGGGAGCCAAGCAGGUGAACUCCUGGCUGAACUAGAUACCUGUUUAAUGGUGUAAAUGGGGACCAGGAUAGGUGAAAAACUUUGCUUCGUGGCUUUCCCUGCCUUCACUGGCCCAGUUCAGCGCUAGCCAACCGAGUACCCGGCCUACUCCGGUACGGACGCUAGACGGCGCUGCUGGGACACGCUUUCCUUCUCCCGGAAAGCGCCUUUGGGCAUCCUCUUUGUCGCCCGGAAAGCUCGAGCCCGCGCUCUCUGGAACCCAGCUCUCCAUCUCGUCCUGGACCGAGGCCCAUCGCCCCAGACAUGGAACUGCACGCUUGAGCCCUGCUGGACGUCCCCGGCUGUUUUGCAAGAAGACUCGGACAGCUGCCAAGGAAAGUGAACGAUGAAGCCACCGUUUCUUUUGGCUCUUGUCGUCUGUUCUGUAGUCAGCACAAAUUUGAAGAUGGUAUCAAAGAGAAAUUCUGGUAAGUUGCUGGCAACCUCUCACUAUUUAGUCAAAAAUGUAUGUUUUUUUGUGAGCAUCUAGUGAGCAUCUGUGUCUUUAAUUUUGAAUAUCUUUAAAGAGAAGUGCUUGUAAUCCAGCUAUGUUGGAAAGUAGCCAAAACAAAAAUGAGAUUUUAGCCUACCACUGAGAAAAUGUUGGAAAACCAGUGGAAUUUCGUUCAACUUCAAUGACAGUAUAUUCUCAGUGGACGGUAAAAUACUAAGGGCCUUCUUAAGGUUGGUUACAUUUGCUAGUGAGAGAGAAAACAUUUCUGGGAGAAAAAACAUUUGCAAAUGAGAAGACAGGAAACCCUUAACAAUGUAUAUUCUUUGCCUUCUAAUUGAGUGCACAGAAUUAUACUUUCAAUGAAAGUUUUUGACAAAUAUCAGUGAGCUUUAGUUCCUCACAUCUUAACAUUUGUACCAAAUUCCUAACAGGCAGAGGUUUAAAGCCUCCAAUUUUAGAAAUAUUAGCUGAUUGCCUGAAGAGGAAUUUCUUUAGAAGAAAUAUCUAUUUCUAGAACAUGGUGGUCUGGCAGGCAGCCAUGAUUGUACUAAGAGAUUAGCAUAGCCAGUUGAUAUCCCAAUCAAAGUUUAAUCAUUGUUUAAUAACACUUGGAUAUAUAUGUCUUUCAGCUUUGAUUAUACAUUUUAGCUAUAAUUACAAACCAUGCAUGAGAUUUUAAGAAAUUGAUUUUCUGUCUGUAACGGUGCCAGGAAGAUAUUGAGGAAUGCUUUAUUGUAUGGAAACAAAAGACUGUGAUGGGGCUUUGUGCUGGCUUCUAAUUCAGUUACUUUCUAGAAUUAAAUGUAUACUCUUUACUUUCUCAUUAAGUAUAAAACCUAGGUGCUAAAGUACAUGCCUAUUUUUCAAAGCAAUAAAUGCUGGCUGGAGUUUUGGAGUUUGGCUAAU
rnacentral:lncRNA from 1 species